ACGAACACACCCAUUUCCUCUUCCAAUUACUCUCACUUGCCUUAAAACAUUCUCAUUGCGAUUCUUCUCUCAACGAAAUCGACGCCGCUACCGCCGCCCAAGGAGCUGCAGGCGGAUGACUUCUUCUCCCCUGCAAUGUCAACUUCAUCAACCACAACCGGCAUCACUGAGUGUUUGUGUGGACGUCGGAGUGUCGUUAGAACAUCGUGGACAAAUGAAAAUCCGGGACGCAGGAUUAAUUCUUGCGGGCAAUAUCAUUGAGGUGGAAAAGGUGGGUGCGGAUACUUUUCCUAGGAAGAUCCCCCAAUGUGUGCACGUACCAAGGCCAUUAUUCCCUGCUUGCUGAGGAAAUUAAAUGACAAAGAUUCGGAAAUCUUGAGGUUGAAGGAGCAUAACCAAAUGUUACUUAGGAUCAUUGUCGGUAGUUGUUAUUUUAGUACGACGAUCUGCGGCUAUGUUUUGAAGGUUUGACUUCAAAUAUGAUGAAAAAAAUGGAAGCCUGUUGAGGCAAUGUAAUAGACUUCUUGUAUUUUAUGUCUAGUAUUGUAUGUUGUUAACUUUUGCUUGUCCCGUUUUAUGUUGCACUACUCUACUAAAGUGUUUUUCUAACUAACUUUGUAAUACGUCACUACAAAAAAAUAAUAUAUUUGUAACGGAAUUC